rnacentral:rRNA from 1 species
GUGGGGAAUAUUGGACAAUGGGGGCAACCCUGAUCCAGCCAUGCCGCGUGAGUGAAGAAGGCCUUCGGGUUGUAAAGCUCUUUCGACGGGGACGAUGAUGACGGUACCCGUAUAAGAAGCCCCGGCAAACUUCGUGCCAGCAGCCGCGGUAAUACGAAGGGGGCUAGCGUUGUUCGGAAUUACUGGGCGUAAAGCGCGCGUAGGCGGUGAUCUUUGUCAGAGGUGAAAGCCUGGGGCUCAACCCCAGAAUUGCCUUUGAAACGGGAUCGCUAGAGUCCGAGAGAGGAUGGCGGAAUUCCUAGUGUAGAGGUGAAAUUCGUAGAUAUUAGGAAGAACACCGGUGGCGAAGGCGGCCAUCUGGCUCGGUACUGACGCUCAGGCGCGAAAGCGUGGGGAGCAAACAGGAUUAGAUACCCGUGUAGUCC